ACAAAAUCCCUAGAUCUCUCCUGUUGCUCCCCACGCACGCCGGCGCCCACGCCUCCGACCGCCGCCCCGCGCCGCCCGGGGCUACCGCCGGUCUAUCCCACCGCUGCCCCACGCCGCCCUUCCUCUGUAGCACCGCCCCACGCUGCCCUUCCUCUGUAGCACCGCCCCACGCUGCCCUGUCCCUACAGCGCAGCCCAACUCCGUCCCGCCUCUCUCCGCCGCCGGCUCCACACCCUCGUGAUCUCUCUCCGGUUGGCCGCCUCUUUCCAACAUCCCGGGCCCGACCUCCCCAUCUCCACCUUCCAGCUCACGAAGACACACGCAGCGGCAAAUUUGGAUGGGGGCAGCGUGCGCCUGGGCAAGGGCAUCUCUCUCUGUCUUUGGCUGGGCAGGGGCACAGAAGCGGCUGAGUUAAACAGAGGACAACUGUUUGUAACAUUGAGCCGAUGAAGAGAAGUAGCAGAAUAUUCGACGCCACCUUAGUGCAUAAGCGAUGUACUCAUAUAGUGUGUCUUUUGCUGGAGGAAAAAUGGCAAGCGCAAGCGGAAAAGCUAAAGAUGGUGGGGUCACGGAGGAACAACUGAAAGCAUUUGAGUAUAAAUACAGAAAAGUAGGACCAGAGAACAAAAUGAAGCAAGUCAUCCUGCUGAAUCAAAACUAUAGUAUAUCCAUCCACAUAUCCUAACUGUAGUAUAUCCCUGCAGCACACUCUGUUAUGGGCAUAAAUAAACACAUAUGCAUGUAUUCAUUAUCAAAACACAAACAAUAUAUAUGAUAACAAAACAGUAGGCAGUGAUGUUGUCAACAUGUCUAGUCAUCAUAAAUCUCCUUACCUUUUUUCUUAUAGUCUCGCAGUGCUAUCACCAAAAAGAAUCGCUCCAAUGAAGUGCCUCAUACAUCCGGGAGCAAGAGUCACAAACAAUAUAUAUAUAUAUAUAUAUAUAUAUAUAUAUAUAUAUAUAUAUAUAUAUAUAUAUAUAUAUGUGAUAAUUUUCUUGUAGCCUCCUAGAUCUUCUUGUGAGGUUGUUGUCAAUGUUGUGAUCACAAGGGAUGCAACACUGCCUUAUGAAUAUGAUGGUUUACGAUUUGUCGCCGAUGCUAUCACAAGGUCCAUUGCAUGGCCAUCUAGCAAGAUGAAACCCUACAAGCCAGGGGCAUCUUCCUCAUCCCACCACUAAGGUUGCUGUCAGGUUGUGUACGGAAGACAAGAGGAACAAGAAGGAACCAUGAAGUUGUCAGUUUGCGUCAACUAGAUAUCUUUUGUAAUGGAGCAAAACCAAUGCAUCUUGUAGCUACCAUUUUGUAAAGGAUAUCUUGUAACGUAGCAAGCAUUGAACCGUGGGACAUGCAUCUAUCAUUUUAUAAACAUAUCGGGUGUUUCGGUCACCCAGGAAAAUGUUUCCUCUUAUUUAGUUACCUCUAUUAUGAGAAUUAUAAGUGUUAUUUUUGUUUGGUUCUGGUUUAAUAUUUGAGAGUACAUGCAAGUUAUUGUAACUUGAUAGAUAAUGAUGAGAUAUGUAA